CCUACGGGAGGCUGCAGUGGGGAAUAUUGGUCAAUGGGGGGAACCCUGAUCCAGCGACGCCACGUGAGUGAAGAAGUACUUCGGUAUGUAAAGCUCUAUCAGCAGGGAAGAAAAUGACGGUACCUGACUAAGAAGCCCCGGCUAACUACGUGCCAGCAUCCUCGGUAAUACGUAGGGGGCCAGCGUUAACCGGAAUUACUGGGUGUAAAGGGGGCGUAAACGGUGCAGCAAGUCUGAUGUGAAAGUUCGGGGCCCAACCCCGGGACUGCAUUUGAAACUGUUGAACUGGAGUACAGGAGUGGUAGGCGGAAUGCCUAGUGUAGCGGUGAAAUGCGUAGAUAUUAGGAGGAACACCGGUGGCGAAGGCGGCUUGCUGGGCUUUUACUGACGCUGAGGCUCGAAAGCGUGGGGAGCAAACAGGAUUAGAUACCCUAGUAGUC
rnacentral:rRNA from 1 species